rnacentral:tRNA from 1 species
UCUAAGGAUGAUCUUAGCUGAAAGUUUACUUUCACGUAGAUCACUUUUUAGCAGCUCUUAAAUGAGCUUUAGUAGUCUUCGGACUACAUUAUAGACCGAACCGUCCUCAUAUCUCUUCAGUAAUAAUAAUUUUGCAGGUCAUCGAUCUGUUAAGGGUCGGUAGCUCAGGUGGUUAGAGCGCACGCCUGAUAAGCGUGAGGUCGGAGGUUCAAGUCCUCCUCGACCCACCAUAAAAUGGGGCGUUAGCUCAGCUGGGAGAGCACCUGCUUUGCAAGCAGGGGGUCAUCGGUUCGAUCCCGAUACGCUCCACCAUUUCCUUCAGAUUAUUAUAUCAAUUCCGAUUAGAUCAUUAAGAGACUGUAAGCAGUUUUUAAUCAUCCAAUCGAGAUGGCGAACCUUCGGGUUCACUUUUACAUCGUUUAGAGAGCAUAUAAAACACGAGACGUAAGUUUCUUGUUUGGACCACUUCUUCGGAAAAGGUUAGGAAUUGAAUAUUUUGAGGCUGAAGAGCUUUGAGAGACUAGAUUGUUAGCUGGUUCGCAGUAUCAUAGGUAACUAUGAAGCAUAAUCAGACUAGGGUGACCAACCCACUGUGCGUGUGCUGUUGGUGAGCGUUCCAGUGCGGUUCGCAAGCUAAUUCAAAGAUAAUUUACAGUCUUUCCAAGUCAAAUACACUAACCAAAGUCACAGUGAAUUAGAUCUACUGUGACAUGAAGGGAUGCUCGAAAGAGCAUUCAUUCGCUGGAAUGUGCGUGACCUUCCUGCCAAGGGAGGGUUACAUUUGAGUUCAAAAUAAAAUGUUGUUUUUGCAAUUGCAAAACAAUGACGUGCCUAUCGCAAGAUAGGUGCUGAUGAACAAUUUUCUCAAAAAAAAUGACGACUUCUGUUCUAGAAAUAGUCUGACUAUUUCU